rnacentral:rRNA from 1 species
CCUACGGGGUGCAGCAGUGGGGAAUAUUGCACAAUGGGGGAAACCCUGAUGCAGCGACGCCGCGUGAGUGAGGAAGUAUUUCGGUAUGUAAAGCUCUAUCAGCAGGGAAGAAAAUGACGGUACCUGACUAAGAAGCCCCGGCUAACUACGUGCCAGCAGCCGCGGUAAUACGUAGGGGGCAAGCGUUAUCCGGAUUUACUGGGUGUAAAGGGAGCGUAGACGGUUAAUCAAGUCAGAAGUGAAAACCCAGGGCUCAACCUUGGGACUGCUUUUGAAACUGAGUAGCUAGAGUGCAGGAGAGGUAAGCGGAAUUCCUAGUGUAGCGGUGAAAUGCGUAGAUAUUAGGAGGAACACCAGUGGCGAAGGCAGCUUACCAAGCUACUUCUGACGUUGAGGCACGAAAGCGUGGGGAGCAAACAGGAUUAGAUACCCCGGUAGUC